AUUGAACGCUGGCGGCAGGCCUAACACAUGCAAGUCGAACGAGCGGCGGACGGGUGAGUAAUGUCUGGGGAACUGCCCGAUAGAGGGGGAUAACUACUGGAAACGGUAGCUAAUACCGCAUACUAUCGGAUGUACCCAUAUGGGAUUAGCUUGUAGGUGAGGUAAUGGCUCACCUAGGCGACGAUCCCUAGCUGGUCUGAGAGGAUGACCAGCCACACUGGGACUGAGACACGGCCCAGACUCCUACGGGAGGCAGCAGUGGGGAAUAUUGCACAAUGGGCGCAAGCCUGAUGCAGCCAUGCCGCGUGUAUGAAGAAGGCCUUCGGGUUGUAAAGUACUUUCAGCGGGGAGGCGUUACCGACAGAAGAAGCACCGGCUAACUCCGUGCCAGCAGCCGCGGUAAUAC
rnacentral:rRNA from 1 species